UGGGACGGUAGUCGCUUAGCAGUACCUGCCCAGUGCAUAAAUAUUGUAAACGGCCUGUCCCUAGCGUGAGGGUGCCAAGGUAGCGAAAUUCCUUGCCUUUUAAUUGUAGGCCUGCAUGAAUGGAUUGACGAGGGCCAUUCUGUCUCUUGCCUUAUGAAGUGAAAUUGGAUUAAAGGUGAAGAUACCUUUAUUAAAAAGUUAGACAAGAAGACCCCGUGCAGCUUUUAAAAGAUCCUUUAUUAAGAAAGGUAGAUUUUUAGGUGGGGCGCCUAGGAAGUAAAACUUAACCUUCUGUGUAAUUUUGUUUGUUGAUAACUCUCUAGUAUAGACCCGGUAAAAUCCGAUCGUAGGAGAAGUUACGCCGGGGAUAACAGGCUUAUCCAUUAGUAGAGCUCGUAUUGGCUAAUGGGAUUGGCACCUCGAUGUUGAAUUAGGGACAAUAACUUUAAGGCGUAGAAGCUUUAAGAGUGGGUCUGUUCGACCUUUAAUACCCUACGUGAUCUAUUUCCCAAACGGGAACACCGGCGGCG
rnacentral:rRNA from 1 species